CUGCAGUCUGCCGAUGUUGUUCAUUUAUUCUACUCCUCUAACCUCCUGUUGUCGCAGCUGCUGGAGGUCAGGAAUGGAAACUUUGUGAGUGAAGGAACAGGUGGAGUACGAAGGGACACACGCACAGCGAACGAAGCAGGUUACACCUCUUUCAAUUGCAUCCACCGCAGCACGUGAGGGGAAUGCAGCUCUAGCCAACGUUAUCCGCAAAACAAGGCAGCCACAGAAAGUACGGCGAGGUGGAGCAAAGGGCACCGACGGGUCCUGUCACUUUUUAUCAUCACAAUCAACACUGGCUGUUUGGAAUGAAAAAGACGGGAAACAAGGACCGAGGACACGAGGAAAACAGCUCAAGGCUUCAUCGCACAGCGCGUGCAGCUUUUUGUGGAUAACUGUGCUACUUUGACUGUGGAUGUCUGCAGCAGGUUUAAUUAAACAUUAAAUAAUGUUAAAGUCGACAUUAAACAUGCAUGUAAUCCAAUCACAUCACAGAAACUGGACGUCACAUAAAUGACACGGCGAC
ensembl:lncRNA